rnacentral:rRNA from 1 species
CCUACGGGAGGCAGCAGUGGGGAAUAUUGGACAAUGGGGGCAACCCUGAUCCAGCCAUGCCGCGUGUGUGAAGAAGGCCCUCGGGUUGUAAAGCACUUUCAGUGAGGAAGAACGCCUGGUGGUUAAUACCCAUCAGGAAAGACAUCACUCACAGAAGAAGCACCGGCUAACUCCAUGCCAGCAGCCGCGGUAAUACGGAGGGUGCGAGCGUUAAUCGGAAUUACUGGGCGUAAAGCGCGCGUAGGUGGCUUGAUAAGCCGGUUGUGAAAGCCCCGGGCUCAACCUGGGAACGGCAUCCGGAACUGUCAAGCUAGAGUGCAGGAGAGGAAGGUAGAAUUCCCGGUGUAGCGGUGAAAUGCGUAGAGAUCGGGAGGAAUACCAGUGGCGAAGGCGGCCUUCUGGACUGACACUGACACUGAGGUGCGAAAGCGUGGGUAGCAAACAGGAUUAGAUACCCUGGUAGUC